AAAUAUUUAUUCCUUGAAGUGCAAUUAUAAAGAGCCAUUGUCUGAGUGCAUAUAUGUCAAAUGACAGCUAUUCAGAGAACUUAAUGGUUGUGAAAAGUUGGCACUUUCCAACUGAAAUCUCUGUGACACUAGAAAUUUCCAGGAACUGUACUGUUCAACACAGUAGCCAUCAGCUACAUGUGGCUAGUAAGCUUUUGAAAUAUGGCCAGUAUGAUGAAGAAACUGUAUUUCCAAUUUAAUCUAACUGAAAAUUCAUUUAAAUUUAAGUAGUCAUAGGUGGCUUGGGGCGACUAAAGUCUAUAGUACAUUUAGACUAAGCACACUGAAACCAGACAUUGAGCUUUUUCAAGUAAAUAAAACUACCUACUGGGAAAAAAUAAGUUACAAUUCUCCUCUUUGGUCUCCAAGGUCCUUUGCAUGUGGUGCCCUGUUACUGCUGAUAAGACUUGCACCGCUGACCAUUUACCCCCUAAGAGAAGAAAACUGACAUUGCUUAUAAGUUCAAAAUGACACUGCCAAAACCAGAAGAAAUGGAAAAUAACUGCAGCAUGUUUACCACAUAUUAGCUCCUUUCUCUACAUGAAACACACAAUGAGAACACUUUAUAGAUGAAUUGUGCCUUUGACUGAAUGGAGAAUGGUGGACGAGUUCUGGUUUUGUGGAAUUGGAAAAUUUGUCACAGUUUCUAUCCUACCUCUGAAAAAUGAAAACCCAAAGAAAAACUAGUAGAAAGACUU